rnacentral:rRNA from 1 species
UACGUAGGGGGCGAGCGUUGUUCGGAAUUACUGGGCGUAAAGGGCGUGUAGGCGGUGCGGUAAGUCGGACGUGAAAUCCCCGGGCUUAACUCGGGGGGGUCGUUCGAAACUGCCGUGCUCGAGUGUGGGAGAGGGAAGUGGAAUUCCCGGUGUACCGGUGAAAUGCGUAGAUAUCGGGAAGAACACCGGUGGCGAAGGCGGCUUCCUGGCCCACAACUGACGCUGAGGCGCGAAAGCUAGGGGAGCAAACAGG